CACGUAGGGGGCAAGCGUUGUCCGGAUUUAUUGGGCGUAAAGGAGCUCGUAGGCGGCUCAGUAAGUCAGGUGUGAAACCUCCAGGCUCAACCUGGAGACGCCACCUGAUACUGCUGUGGCUAGAGUCCGGUAGGGGAGCGUGGAAUUCUGGUGUAGCGGGUGAAAUGACGCAGAUAUCGGAGGAAGACCAGUACGCGGAAGGCGGAGCCACGUCGUG
rnacentral:rRNA from 1 species